UGGAGGGUAAUGGAAAUUUUCUGAAAUUCCAUAGUGGCCAACUUUGUGAAUAUACUAAAAUCUACUGAGUUGUACACUUAAAAUUAAUAAAAUAAGAAAAAUAAGAUUCAAGCCAUACUAUGAACUGUCCUCACCAUUUUCUUCCAAAGAAAUAUGUGCUAUGUGUGCGUGUGUGUGUGUGAGAGAGAUAUGCUAUUUAUAGAGAAACUAAGGCGCCAUGUGAACAGCCGAGCUGCCAUCAACUUGAUCAGCAAUUGCUGGGCACCUGCUUUAGGUAGGGCCAAUACAAUUCAUGUCCCUACAGAAGGUAAAGCAAGAAAGGGCAAAGAACAUUCUCUUCAUCGAGGCGGAGUUCAGGUUAAACACAGAGACAUAUCUAAUAAAAUAAAACAACUAGUGGAAGCUGGGUUGACUUUGACCACUGAUUUAGAAAACUGCAGGAUUAGUAUGAUUACUUGUAUCAGAACUGGCUGUUAACACAGCAAAAAUAUUAGAUCUACUCUGUGCUCACCAUUUCUACGGCUACAUGGAGUAGCCUGCGUUUCCAUGGGCAAAUGGAACACGACAUCAGAAGCCAGAUUUAAGUAAUAAAGACCUACGACAAGUGAUGCUUUUUGUGUUUUUUGCCAAAUAUGAAGAAGCAACGCUUCAGGGUGAGUUUUUUUAACUGGGGAGAGAAAGAAGGCUACCUGAUUUCCCAAUCUUGAGGAAAACACUAUAGUUAGAAAGAGGAGCAGAACACAAAAGAUAUGUAAGAAAGUAAUGACGAGAAUGCACAGGGUGUCAGCAUGAAGACCCUCUCACAGCACAUCAAGAGAUUGUAAUAUGUCUGACCUGUAUUCACAGGUACAGGAGGGGAGAGAGCCUCACCUCAGGCAAUCGUGGUCUUUGGGAAGAAGAAAUGGUAUGAGGUCCAGGCCAGAGAAGGCUCGUGGAGUGGGCAAUGGUGGGAAAGUCUGACCAGCAUUCAACUGAGGCGGAAACUCCCUGACGGAGCUGUGGCGAUGGCCCCGGCUGUGUAACAGAAUAUGAGACAAGGACCCAGCCAGCCCUGACCUGGGAAAUGAAGUCACUGCUGGUUAAAUGGCCCAAGCUGGUGGUUGCCAUGGAAACCAUAGAACUCUUGCUUUCUCAGAACAAUGGGAAGAGACAGGCCCAGCAGUCUGCGUGGGGGAAAGCAGAGCUCAGACGCUCUUGCUUCUAAAGCCCACGUCAGGGUCAUCUUCUCUUCCACCCUGGCUAUAAUAAUCCCUGGACUCCUCCCCACCCGGCCUCUGUGAAGAGGCAGAGUGGGAAACAGAGACUCAGGAAAAGGUCUUUUUGUACCUGGUUUCAUUGACAAAAUGCCAAACACUAACCAGAACCUGGCUAGGCCAAGAACUCUGAAUAAGACUCUUCCCAUAUUCCAAACAGUGAAGAGAAGUUGCUACUGAGUAGAAAUAUAAAUGGCUACCUGGGUAGCAAGGUGGAUGUGUGAACACCUGGAGUUUAGGCCUGUUGGGUAUCCAAUCCGCCUUCAACUGGUAAAAGCAUCCUGAUUUUCCUUUGAGAUAUCACCACUUCCUCAUUCUUGGUCCUUGUGGUUCAGGUGGAGCCGUCCCCAGCCCACAAAAUAACAAGAAUGGGCAUGUGACUCAGAUGCGGCCAGUGAGAGCAUAGUGAUUAGUCCACAAUGCCCAAGCUACAGCAGUGAGGUCAUAGGACUUCGGCUGAAGCAGUAAAAUUGGAGCUGCAGGAGAUGUCUUCCCUGGCUGAAUGGAGAAGCCCAUCUGCAAAGGAAAGAGAUGAGGCCAACUGCAAAGAGAAAAAGAGAGCCACAACGUCAUUCGACUCUUGAUCGAGCUGUACCUGAAGUUACCUUAGAUAUCCCAAAUUACAGGAGCCUAUCAGUGAUCUAUUAGAAGAAAAGUACCUAUGCUUUUCACGAGGUGACGACGUGAGCCUGGAGGCACAGCACACCUUGCCCGUGGGCUCUCCUGCUCCGUGUGCUGGCGGAGGCCACCAGGGAUCGAGACCCCGGAGGGUGAGAGUGUCCGGCCGCUGAGGGCGCUCAGCACCUUUGGCAAGCUCUCCUGUGCUUUCAGAUGUGCUCUGCAUUACCAUGGUUUUUCUUGACUCAAAAGUAUACUGUUUAGAAAAAAGAGACUAGAUUCAGGAGGGAACAUUCGAUAGGACCGAAGCUGCAAAAGCAGUGCAGGAGUGCUUUUGAGCCAAGCAGAAACGUGGACGGGAGCUCUUUGCGAGCUCUCUGUGAGGGAGGGUCUUGGCUUCUAAAACAUACAACUGUUCAGCUUUAAAAUACCAUGAAAAUUAAAAAUACCCUCUAUCUCCAAGCAUAUUCAUGUAAGAGUGUUAACUUUCUUCCUAUAACCUCAAUAACCUCAGGAGCAAAAUGCAUAUAAAGCCUAUUUAAUAGAUCAUAAACAGACUUAAUCUCAAGCUAAAUGCUGUGAUGGAUUUGGUGAGAAUUUCUGGAGCGCCUGCUCUGUGCCAGCACUGGGCAAGCUGCUUACCCACCUUGUCUUCUUGAAUCUUCACAACGGCCCCAGGAGGCAGGAAGCAUUAUCGUCACUUUAUAAAUGAGAAAGCUGAGAUUCAAAAAGAUAAAUAAU
rnacentral:lncRNA from 1 species